AAUAGAUACCCUGGUAGUCCACGCCGUAAACGAUGAGUGCUAAGUGUUAGAGGGUUUCCGCCCUUUAGUGCUGAAGUUAACGCAUUAAGCACUCCGCCUGGGGAGUACGGCCGCAAGGCUGAAACUCAAAGGAAUUGACGGGGGCCCGCACAAGCGGUGGAGCAUGUGGUUUAAUUCGAAGCAACGCGAAGAACCUUACCAGGUCUUGACAUCCUCUGACAACCCUAGAGAUAGGGCUUCUCCUUCGGGAGCAGAGUGACAGGUGGUGCAUGGUUGUCGUCAGCUCGUGUCGUGAGAUGUUGGGUUAAGUCCCGCAACGAGCGCAACCCUUGAUCUUAGUUGCCAUCAUUCAGUUGGGCACUCUAAGGUGACUGCCGGUGACAAACCGGAGGAAGGUGGGGAUGACGUCAAAUCAUCAUGCCCCUUAUGACCUGGGCUACACACGUGCUACAAUGGACGGUACAAAGAGCUGCAAGACCGCGAGGUGGAGCUAAUCUCAUAAAACCGGUUCUCAGUUCGGAUUGUAGGC
rnacentral:rRNA from 1 species